rnacentral:rRNA from 1 species
GAUGAACGCUAGCGGCAGGCUUAAUACAUGCAAGUCGAGGGGCAGCAGGACUGUAGCAAUACAGUUGCUGGCGACCGGCAAACGGGUGCGGAACACGUACGCAACUUACCCUUGUCUGGGGCAUAGCCCACCGAAAGGUGGAUUAACUCCCCAUAAGAUAGUGGUGUGGCAUCACACAGCUAUUAAAACUGAGGUGGACAAGGAUGGGCGUGCGGCUGAUUAGGUAGUUGGUGCGGGUAACGGCCCACCAAGCCUGCGAUCAGUAACUGGUGUGAGAGCACGACCAGUCACACGGGCACUGAGACACGGGCCCGACUCCUACGGGAGGCAGCAGUAAGGAAUAUUGGUCAAUGGAGGCAACUCUGAACCAGCCAUGCCGCGUGGAGGAUGAAGGCCCUCUGGGUUGUAAACUUCUUUUACAGGGGACGAAACACUUCUAUUCUUAGGAGCUUGACGGUACCCUGGGAAUAAGCACCGGCUAACUCCGUGCCAGCAGCCGCCGUAAAAC